ACGGAAGGCAGCACUUUGUUCUCUUGCCCCAUGGUUUAAACCCUGAUGCAGCAAUGCCGCGUGAGGGAAGAAGGUCUUCGGAUUGUAAACCUAAGUAGUCAGGGAUGAAGAAAGUGACAUUGCCUGAAGAGUAAGCUCCGGCUAACUACGUGCCAGCAGCCGCGGUAAUACGUAGGGAGCGAGCGUUGUCCGGAUUUACUGGGUGUAAAGGGUGCGUAGGCGGGCUUGCAAGUCAGGCGUGAAAUACCGGGGCUUAACUCCGGGGCUGCGCUUGAAACUGUAAGUCUUGAGUGAAGUAGAGGCAGGCGGAAUUCCCAGUGUAGCGGUGAAAUGCGUAGAUAUUGGGAGGAACACCAGUGGCGAAGGCGGCCUGCUGGGCUUUAACUGACGCUGAGGCACGAAAGUAUGGGGAGCAAACAGGAUUAGAUACCCUGGUA
rnacentral:rRNA from 1 species